rnacentral:lncRNA from 13 species
AUGCAAGAAAGAACAUUCUCUUGGCUUAACAAGGUUGCCUUUAUUUUAUUUUUCACAAACAUAACAUCACAUAAUUCAACAUCUACCUCAGUGAUGGAUGAAAUUACCAAGUAUGUUUCAAAAAUCCCAAGUGAAACAUCACUGCCUGUAACCAGUCAGAUGUCAAUGAGUACCACUGUUUCUUCAACUCCAACAGCAAAUACCAAUCAAUCCAUAGAAAGUAUAGCUUCCACUACAUCAAGUAGUGAUUCCAUCACUUGCUCUAAUACAUCAACAUUGGCAGUCCCUUCAAGUGAUGCCACCACUCCCUCAACAGUCACUUUUCCCUCCACUACAUCAGCAGUAACAUCAACUGUGGCCAACAUUCCUUCUACUACUUCGAAAGUCACCUCAAGUGAUGCCACCAAUCCCUCAACUAUGUCUACAGUCACUUCAAGUGAUCCCGCAACUCCCACUAAUUCAUUGACAGUCACAAGUGAUGUCACAACUCCCUCAACUACAUCAAUAGUCACUUCAAGUGAUCCCAAAACUCUGACUUCUACAUUGACAGUCAAAAGUGAUGCCACCACUCGGUCUACUAUGUCUACAGUCAUUUCAAGUGAUCCCAAAACUUCCACUACUACAUUGACAGUCACUAGUGAUGCCAUCAUUCGCUCUGCUAUAUCGACAUUGACAGUCCCUUUAAUAAGUGAUGCCACCUCUCCCUCUACCAUGUAUACAGUUACUUUAAGUGGCAACACAUCAACACCUACUUCAAGUGAUGCCACCCCUCCCUCAACAGUCACUUCAACUCAUGUAACUUCUCCCUCAACUAUGUCUACAGUCACUUCAAUUGAUACCACCCCUACUACAUCAACAGUCACAAAUGAUGCCCUCACUCGCUCUACUACAUUGAUAUCAAAAUUACAUUCAAGUGAUGCCACUAAUACCUCAACAGUCACUUCAAAUGAUAACAAAACUCCCUCAAUAGUCACUUCAAGUGAUGCCACUACUCCCUCGACUAUGUUGACAGUCACUUCAAGUGAUGCCACCACUCCCUCAACAGUCACUUCAAGUGAUCCCUCAACUCCCACCACUACAUCGACAUUGACAGUCUCUUCAAAGGACGCCACCACUCUUUCAACAGUCACUUCAAGUGAUGCUACAUCAACACACACUUCAAGUAAUGCCACCACUCCCUCACCCAAAUCAACAGUGUCUUCAAGUAAUGCCACCACUCCCUCACCCAAAUCAACAGUGUCUUCAAGUAAUGCCACCACUCCCUCACCCAAAUCAACAGUGUCUUCAAGUAAUGCCACCACUCCCUCACCCAAAUCAACAGUGUCUUCAAGUGAUUCCACCAAUCCCUCAACUACGUCAACAGUCACAAGUGAUGCCAUCACUCAUUCUACUAAAUCGACAUUGACAGUCCUUUCAAGUGAUGCCAUCACUCCCUCAACAGUCACUUCAAGUAAUGCCACCACUACGACAUUAACAGUCACUUCAAGUGAUAGUACAUCAACACCCACUUCAAUUGAUGCCACCACUCCCUCAACAGCAUCCCCAGUCAUUCAAAGUAAUACCAUUACUCCCUCAGCUACAUCGACAUUCACUUCAAGUCAUACCACCACCACCACUACAUCGACAGUAACAUCAACUGUGGCCACCACUCCCUCAACUACAUCAACAGUCACUUCAAGGGAUGCCAACACUCCCUUAACAGUCUCUUCAUGUGAUGUCACUACUCCCUCAACUACAUCAAUAGUCACUUCAAGUGAUGCCACCACUACUCCAUCAACAACAGCAGUCACUUCAAGCGUUGCCACCGCUCCUUCAACAUUCACUUCAAGUGAUGCCACCACUGCUACACCAACAGUAGCUUCAACUGCAGCCACCAUUCCCUCAACUACAUCGACAGUCACUUCAGAUGAUACUACAUCAACACCCACUUCAAGUGAUGCCACCACUCCCUCAACUGCAUCGACAUCAACUUCAAAUGAUGCCACAACUACUACACUGACAUUAACAGUCAUUUCAAGCGAUUCCACCACUCCCUCAUCUACAUCAAUAGUCACUUCUCGUGAUGCCACAGCUACUACAUCAACAUCAGCAUUCACUUCAAGUGAUGCCACCUCUCCCUCGACAUCAAUAUUUACUUCAAUUGAUGCCACCUCUCCCUCGACAUCAACAGUCACUUUAAGUGAUGCCACCUCUCCCUCAACUACAUUGACUUUCACUUCAAGUGUUACCACCACUACUACACCAACAGAAAUAUUAACUGUGGCCACAAUUCCUUCAACUACAUUGACAGUCACUUCAAGUGAUGACACCACUGCUUCAACAGUCACUCCAAGUGAUGCCACCAAUCCCUCAACUACAUCAACAUCAACUUCAAGAGAUGCCACCACUGCUACAUCGACAUUAACAGUCACUUCAAUUCAUAACACCACUAUUACAUCAACAUCAGCAGUCACUUCAAGUCAUGCCACCGCUACAACAUCAAUUUCAGUAGUCUCUUCAAGUGAUGACACCACUCCCUCAACAGUCCCUCCAAGUGAUGCCACCAAUCCCUCAACUGCAUCGACAUCAACUUCAAGAGAUGCCACCACUACUACAUCGACAUUAACAGUCAUUUUAAGCGAUUUCACCACUCCCUCAGAAACCACUUCAAGUCAUGCCACCACUCCCUCAUCUACAUCAAUAGUCACUUCAAGUGAUGCCACAGCUACUACAUCAACAUCAGCAGUCACUUCAAGCGAUAUCACUGUUCCUUCAACAUUUACUUCAAGUGGUGCCACCGCUACUACAUCAGCAUCAGCAUUCAGUUCAAGUGAUGCCAUCUCUCCCUCGACAUCAACAGUCUCUUCAAGUGAUGCCACCAGUACUAUAUCAACAUCAGCAGUCUCUUCAAGUGAUGCCACCAAUCCCUCAACUGCAUCGACAUCAACUUCAAAUGAUGCCCCCACUCCCUCAUCUACAUCAGCAGUCACUUCAAGCAAUAACACUGUUCCUUCAACAUUCAGUUCAAGUGGUGCCACCGCUACUACAUCAACAUCAGCAUUCAGUUCAAGUGAUGCCAUCUCUCCCUCGACAUCAACAGUCACUUUAAGUGAUGGCAGCACUCCCUCAACAGUCUCUUCAAGUGAUGCCACCACUCCCUCAACUGCAUCGACAUCAACUUCAAAUGAUGCCACCACUCCCUCAUCUACAUCAGCAGUAACUUCAAGCGAUAACACUGUUCCGUCAACAUUCACUUCAAGUGGUGCCAAAGCUACUACAUCAACUUCAGCAUUCACUUCAAGUGAUGCCACCUCUCCCUUAACAUCAAUAUUCACUACAAGUGAUGGCACCUCUCUCUCGACAUCAAUAUUUACUUCAAUUGAUGCCACCACUCCCCCAACAGUAGCUUCAAGUGAUGCCACCGCUACUACAUCAACAUCAGCAGUCUCUUCAAGUGAUGCCACCACUCCCUCGACAUCAAUAUUCACCUCGAAUAAUGCCACCUCUCACUCAACUACAUUGACAGUCACUUCAGACGAUACUACAUCAACACCCACUUCAAGUGAUGCCACCACACCCUCAAGUACAUUGACAGUCAGUUCCAGUUUUGCCACCACUCUGUCAACAGUCACUUCAGGUGAUGCCACCUCUUCCUCAACUACAUCAACGGUCACUUCAGGUGAUGCCACCACUACUACACCAAGAGUAACUUCAAAUGCUGCCAUCAUUCCCUCAACUACAUCAACACCCACUUCAAGUGAUACCACCACUCCCUCAAGUACAUCGACAGUCAGUUCCAGUUUUACCACCACUCUGUCAAUAGUCACUUCAGGUGAUGCCACCACUACUACACCGACAGUAACAUUAACUGUGGACAGAAUUCCCUCAACUACGUCGACAGUCAGGUCAAGUGAUGCCACCACUGCCUCAACAGUCACUUCAAGUCAUGAUACCAAUGUUACAUCAACAUCAGCAGUAACUUCAAGCGAUGCCACCGCUCCUUCAAAAUUUACUUCAAGUGAUGUCAACUCUUCUAAAUCAUCAUCAGCAGUCACUUCAAGCAAUAACACCGUUCCUUCAACAUUCACUUCAAGUAGUGCCACCACUCCCUCAAGAACAUCGACAGUCACUUCAAGUGAUGCCACCUCUUCCUCAACAACAUCGACUUUAACUUCAAGUGAUAUCACCACUACUACACCGACAGUAACUUCAACAUUGGCCAAAAUUCUCUCAACUACAUCGACAGUCACUUCAAGUGAUGCCACUACACCCUCAACAUUCACUUCAAGUGGUGCCACCGCUACCACAUCAACAUCAAUAGUCACUUCAAGUGAUGCCACAGCUACUACAUCAACAUCAGCAGUCACUUCAAGCGAUAUCACUGUUCCUUCAACAUUUACUUCAAGUGGUGCCACCGCUACUACAUCAGCAUUCAGUUCAAUCGCUCCCUCGACAUCAACAGUCACUUUAAAUGAUGUCACCACUCCCUCAACAGUCUCUUCAAGUGAUGCCACCGCUACUACAUCAACAUCAGCAGUCUCUUCAAGUGAUGCCAAUCCGUCAACUGCAUUGACAUCAACUUCAAAUGAUGCCACCUCUCCCUCAACAUCAAUCUUCACUUCAAGUGAUGCCACCUCUCACUCAACUACAUCGACAGUCACUUCAGACGAUACUACAUCAACAACCACUUCAAAUGUUGCCAUCACUCCCUCAACUACACUGAUAGUAACUUCAGAAAAUGCCACAUGGACACCCACUUCAGGUGAUGCAACCUCUUCCUCAACUACAUCAACAUUCACUUCAAGUGGUGCCACCACUCCCUCAACAGUAGCUUCAAGUGAUGCCACCGCUACUGCAUCAACAUCAGCAGUCUCUUUAAGUGAUGCCACCACUCCUUCUACAGUCACUUCAAGCAAUCCCACCACUCCCUCAACAGUCACUUCAAGUGAUGCCACCUCUCCUUCUACAUUCACUUCAAGCAAUCCCACCACUCCCUCAACAGUCACUUCAAGUGAUGCCACCACUCCCUCAUCUACAUCAAUAGUCACUUCAAGUGAUGCCACAGCUACUACAUCAACAUCAGCAGUCACUUCAAGCGAUAUCACUGUUCCUUCAACAUUUACUUCAAGUGGUGCCACCGCUACUACAUCAGCAUUCAGUUCAUAUGAUGCCACCUCUCCCUCGACAUCAAUAUUCACUUCAAUUGAUGCCACCUCUCCUUCUACAUUCACUUCAAGCAAUCCCACCACUCCCUCAACAGUCACUUCAAGUGAUGCCACCUCUCCCUCGACAUCAAUCUUCACUUCAAGUGAUGCCACCUCUCACUCAACUACAUCGAUAGUCACUUCAGACGAUACUACAUCAACAACCACUUCAAAUGUUGCCACCACUGCCUCAACAGUCACUUCAAGUGAUGCCAUCACUCCCUCAACUACACAGAUAGUAACUUCAGAAAAUGCCACAUGGACACCCACUUCAGGUGAUGCAACCUCUUCCUCAACUACAUCAACAUUCACUUCAAGUGGUGCCACCAUUCCCUUAACAGUAACUUUAAGUGAUGCCACCUCUCCCUCAACUACAUUGACUUUCACUUCAAGUGUUACCACCACUAUUACACCGACAGAAAUAUUAACUGUGGCCACAAUUCCUUCAACUACAUUGACCGUCACUUCAAGUGAUGACACUACUGCUUCAACAGUCACUCCAAGUGAUGCCACCAAUCCCUCAACUACAUCAACAUCAACUUCAAGAUAUGCCACCACUACUACAUCGACAUUAACAGUCAUUUCGAGCGAUUCCACCACUCCCUCAGAAACCACUUCAAGUCAUGCCACCACUACUACAUCAACAUCAGCAGUCACUUCAAGCGAUAACACUGUUCCUUCAACAUUUACUUCAAGUGGUGCCACCGCUACUACAUCAGCAUCAGCAUUCAGUUCAAUUGAUGCCAUCUCUCCCUCGACAUCAACAGUCUCUUCAAGUGAUGCCACCGCUACAAUAUCAACAUCAGCAGUCUCUUCAAGUGAUGCCACCAAUCCCUCAACUGCAUCGACAUCAACUUCAAAUGAUGCCACCACUCCCUCAUCUACAUCAGCAGUCACUUCAAGCAAUAACACUGUUCCUUCAACAUUCAGUUCAAGUGGUGCCACCGCUACUACAUCAACAUCAGCAUUCAGUUCAAGUGAUGCCAUCUCUCCCUCGACAUCAACAGUCACUUUAAGUGAUGGCAGCACUCCCUCAACAGUCUCUUCAAGUGAUGCCACCUCUCCCUUAACAUCAAUAUUCACUACAAGUGAUGGCACCUCUCUCUCGACAUCAAUAUUUACUUCAAUUGAUGCCAGCACUCCCUCAACAGUAGCUUCAAGUGAUGCCACCGCUACUACAUCAACAUCAGCAGUCUCUUCAAGUGAUGCCACCACUCCCUCGACAUCAAUAUUCACUUCAAAUAAUGCCACCUUUCACUCAACUACAUCGACAGUCACUUCAGACGAUACUACAUCAACAUCCACUUCAAGUGAUGCCACCACUCCCUCGACAUCAAUAUUCACUUCAAAUAAUGCCACCUUUCACUCAACUACAUUGACAGUCACUUCAGACGAUACUACAUCAACAUCCACUUCAAGUGAUGCCACCACACCCUCAAGUACAUUGACAGUCAGUUCAAGUGUUGCCAGCACUCUGUCAACAGUCACUUCAAGUGAUGCCACCACUCCCUCAUCUACAUCAAUAGUCACUUCAAGUGAUGCCACAGCUACUACAUCAACAUCAGCAGUCACUUCAAGCGAUAUCACUGUUCCUUCAACAUUUACUUCAAUUGAUGCCACCUCUCCUUCUACAUUCACUUCAAGCAAUCCCACCACUCCCUCAACAGUCACUUCAAGUGAUGCCACCACUCCCUCAUCUACAUCAAUAGUCACUUCAAGUGAUGCCACAGCUACUACAUCAACAUCAGCAGUCACUUCAAGCGAUAUCACUGUUCCUUCAACAUUUACUUCAAGUGGUGCCACCGCUACUACAUCAGCAUUCAGUUCAAGUGAUGCCAUCUCUCCCUCGACAUCAACAGUCACUUUAAGUGAUGCCACCACUCCCUCAACAGUAGCUUCAAGUGAUGCCACCACUAAGUUGACAGUCACUUCAAGUGUUGAAACUAGUCCCGAGACACCAACACUAACUUCAACUGUGGCCACCAUUCCCUCUAUUGCUUCAAAAGUAAUCUCAACUGAUGCCACCAAUCCCUCAACUGUGUUAACAUUCUCAUCAAGUUAUGCCACAACUCCCUCAACUACAUUGAAAGUCACAAGUGAUGCCAUCACUCGCUCUACAACAUUGAUAAUGACAGACCCUUCAAAUGAUGCCACCUCUCCCUCAAGAGUCACUUCAAGUGAUACCACAACUCCCUUUUCUACAUUGACAGUCACUUCAAGUGAUAACACCUCUGCCUCGACAACAACAGUCCCUUCAAGUGUUGCCAACACUCCCUCGACAUUAACAUUCACUUUAAGUGAUGCCACCUCUCCCUUGACAUCAACAGUUACUUCAAGUAAUGCCACCUUUUCCUGGACAUCAACUGUCACAUCAAGUGAUGCCACCCCUUCCUCAACUAACUCUGUCUCUUCAAGUGAUGCCACCUCACCCUCGACAUCAACAGUCACUUCAAGUGAUGCCACCACUACAUCAACAGUCACUUCAAGUGAUGUCCCCAAUACAUCAACAGUUACUUCAAGUGAUGCUACCACUACAUCAACAGUCUCUUCAAGUGAUGCCCCCACUCCCUCGACAUCAACAGUCACUUCAAGUGAUAGCACAAAUACAUCAACAGUUUCUUCAAGUGAUGCCACCACUCCCUCGACAUUGACAGUCACUUCAAGUGAUGCAAACUCUCCAUCAAAUACAUCUACAGUCACGCCAAGUAAUGCCACCUCUACCUCGACAUCAACAGUCACACCAAGUGAUGCCACCACUACAUCGACAGUCUCUUCAAGUGAUGCCACCACUCCCUCGACAUCAACAGUCACUUCAAGUGAUGCCACCUCUCCCUCGNNNNNNNNNNGUGAUGCUACCACUACAUCGACAGUCCCUUCAAGUGAUACCAAAACUCCCUCGACAUUAACAGUCACUUCAAGUAAUGCCACGUCUCCCUCGACAUCAACAGUCACUUCAAGUGAUACUACCACUACAGCAACAGUCACUUCAAGUGAUGCCACCACUACAUCGACAGUAUCUUCAAAUGAUACCAACUCUCCCUCGACUUCAACAGUCACUUCAAGUGAUGCCAACACCACAUCAACAGUCACUUCAAGUGAUCCUACCACUACAUCGACUGUCCCUUCAAGUGAUACCACCACUACCUCAACAAUAACAGUCACUUCAAGUAAUGCCACGUCUCCCUCAACAUCAACAGUCACUUCAAGAAAUGCCACCAACACAUCGACAGUCUCUACAAGUGAUGCCUCCACUCCUUCGACAUCAACAGUCACUUCAAGAAAUGCCACCAAUACAUCAACAGUCACUUCAAGUGAUGCUACUACUACAUUGACAGUCACUUCAAGUUAUGCUACCACUACAUUGACAGUCUCUUCAAGUGAUAGCACCACACCCUCAACAUCAAGAGUCACUUCAAGAAAUGCCACGUCUCCCUCGACAUCAACAGUCACUUCAAGUGAUUCCACCAAUACAUCGACAGUCACUUCAAGUGAUGCCUCCACUUCUUCAACUUCAACAGUCACUUCAAGUGAUGCCACCAAUACAUCAACAUUCACUUCAAGUGAUGCUACCACUACAUUGACAGUCACUUCAAGUGAUGCUUCCACUAUAUCGACAGUCACUUCAAGUGAUCCCACCACUACCU